rnacentral:rRNA from 1 species
GAUGAACGCUAGCUACAGGCUUAACACAUGCAAGUCGAGGGGUAACGAGAGGAAAGCUUGCUUUCCUUGUCGACGACCGGCGCACGGGUGAUUAACGCGUAUCCAGCCUGCCCCCAACUAGGGAAUAACCCUGCGAAAGUAAGACUAAUACCCUAUAAUUUCCUCAGAUGACAUCUGACGAGGAAUAAAGAUUUAUCGGUUGUGGAUGGGGAUGCGUCUGAUUAGCUUGUUGGCGGGGUAACGGCCCACCAAGGCAACGAUCAGUAGGGGUUCUGAGAGGAAGGUCCCCCACAUUGGAACUGAGACACGGUCCAAACUCCUACGGGAGGCAGCAGUGAGGAAUAUUGGUCAAUGGGCGGAAGCCUGAACCAGCCAAGUAGCGUGCAGGAUGACGGCCCUAUGGGUUGUAAACUGCUUUUAUACAGGAAUAAAGUUAGCCACGUGUGGUUAUUUGUAGGUACUGUAUGAAUAAGGACCGGCUAAUUCCGUGCCAGCCGCCGCCGUAA